GACGAACGCUGGCGGCGUGCCUAAUACAUGCAAGUAGAACGCACAGUUUAUACCGUAGCUUGCUACACCAUAGACUGUGAGUUGCGAACGGGUGAGUAACGCGUAGGUAACCUGCCUGGUAGCGGGGGAUAACUAUUGGAAACGAUAGCUAAUACCGCAUAAUAUUAAUUAUUGCAUGAUAAUUAAUUGAAAGGUGCAAUUGCACCACUACCAGAUGGACCUGCGUUGUAUUAGCUAGUAGGUGAGGUAACGGCUCACCUAGGCGACGAUACAUAGCCGACCUGCGAGGGUGAUCGGCCCCACUGGGCCUGACACACGGCCCAGACUCCUACGGGAGGCAGCAGUAGGGAAUCUUCGGCAAUGGACGCAAGUCUGACCGAGCAACGCCGCGUGAGUGAAGAAGGUUUUCGGAUCGUAAAACUCUGUUGUAAGAGAAGAACGGGUGUGAGAGUGGAAAGUUCACAAUGUGACGGUAUCUUACCAGAAAGGGACGGCUAACUACGUG
rnacentral:rRNA from 1 species